UAAUGAGCAUCCACAAGACAUGCACACAGCUUUGUAUCGUGUGGUUUUCAUGGAGUUUUUAUUUGACUUAACAGUAGCGUGGGUUGUGGAAUAUGUCACAGCGGAAAUGAAAGAAAAAGUGUGUGCUCAAGGGGAGAAACAUGUCUUCCUGAGAGAUUUAUUAGUUCUCUAAAUAGAUCGGCUUUUACCAUAUUCUUUAGCAGUAUAAAUUGGAAUUUCCUAGGGACUUUUGCUAUGUAACAUUAGCAAAAGUUUGGCAUUUAGCUUACAAAAUUCUGAGAAUGGUGUAUGUUAGCAAAGGUUUGCCAUUUGGCUUGAAAAAACCUACUUAAAAAGUGUAUGCUGUAGGAGCAUGCAGCCCCCCCAUCUUCUCUUACCCUAAUCUCUUCCUUGCCAGGGGUUAAAGCUGCAAUCUGUAUUGCAGUUCAGCGGGUUAUUUCUGGUUCACAACUUUUUGAAGAUACCGGUGGAUAUUUCCAAUAGCGUGGAAGAACGGAUAAACUUUCUUCAGCAUUCAGGGAGCUUUACAUAACUGCAAAAAGUGAUACAAAUAUGGAUGGAAAAAAGCGGAAAGCCAGCUUUAUAGCAUUAUCUCCUGUUCCAGACUUUCCCACACUUUCUCAGUGAAGCUCAGUGCUCAGCUCCCAGAAGGGGGUGGCAGCUCUGAGCAGACAUCUCUAGCAGCAAGCUGUGACACUGGUGACCAGAGCUCAGUAUGUGGCUGUUGAAGUUGCCCCAGGCCCCUUUUAAGAACUGAAAGGUCUCCCUGAAGCCUUCUCUUCUCCAGGCCGAACAACCCCAACUCUCUCAGCUUUUCUUACAGGAGAGGUAUUCCAUUCUCUGAUCAUUUCUGUGUCCCUCCUCUGGACCUGCUCUGACAGGUACGUGUCUUUCCUGUGCUGAGGACUCCAGAGCUGAACACAGUACUGUAGGGGGGGGUCUCACCAGAUCAGAGUAGCUGCAAAUAAAUAUGUAUAUUAAACCACAUUUCUGAACCUUAAUUCAGUAAUUUUGCUAAAAUUUUAUUACCUUCUCAAAUGUAAUGUUUGUUUGCAUCAAAAUGUGAUGCUAGCGCCUACUGUUUACAGCCUGUAUUAAAACAAACAAACAAAUAGCCCUGCAUCUAACACAUGAGGAAGACAAAGACUGCAGUGCCAUUUGGUAGGACUUUUCUGAAGUCUAAAAGCAGUUGCUAUGAAACUCGUUCAUCCACCUAAGAAUUUGUAUUGCUUGUGGUUGAAUAAAAUCUGCAUAAGUCAAGUCAACUGCAAGGAAGAACUGGUGAAGGUAAUAUCCCCAGCGAUCCUUCUGGAGGGGUUACUUGUAAUCCAAACUGCAUUUCUCAUCCUUCUGAUUUACCCCAUUUCAGCAGUCACUCAUGUUGGCACAGUGCAGUAUUUUCAAACCCACAAUGAUCACGUGUAAAUUGCGGCAAAUUACAGCACGAAAUUAGCUGUAUAUUUUUAUCCUUGUGUUUAUUAUGAUUUUUUGAUCCUUCGAAAAAGCACACUGAGGUGGCAUUUCUGUGCUCUUAGGAGAAGGCUGUGAGCAGAAAUAGCCAACUCAUCUGUCUCCCCAGGUAUUUAUACCACAUUCAUCACUGUGCUGUCUGAACAUUUAAUACUAGCCCCUCAAUCUUUCUAAGUGAAAUAACGUCCCAUUAAAGAGGUGUGAAGGAAGCUGAUGCUACCAUGA